rnacentral:lncRNA from 1 species
CAUUUGAAUAGAUCUCUAUAAAUGCCAUCACGCUACCUUUGUCUAUUUACUAGUAAGUGUUAGUUUGGAAGUACUGCACAUACUUCUAUUGGCUUUUAAAUUAAGCAUGGAGCUUAGGUUAAACAACCUUCCUUAAUCUGAUUAGACAUGGAGUCUAGUUCGGUUAUUGAACUAAAAACUGCUUGUGUAGACAUUAGUAUAUUUUUGUCAGACUAACCCCUGCAGAAAAAACUUUCACUAUCGAUUUGGGAAGUCCUGAGAUAAACUCACAUCAGAGAUGAAGAGAGUGACACAUGAAGUUUAACAAUUUGCACAAGAAGGACAUAGCUCAUUCAUCAUAGAGAGAUGAUCCAUGUAGGGUGCACAAAUACGAUGCACAACCACUAAGAAAGGAAAGCUUCCACAAGGUGAUACUACACCAUCACUCUUCAAGUAAGGUAACACCUUAAGGUACUUGACUAUCACUUUUAUAAGCUUCUCCUUGGUUCUGGCGUUCAUAUAAAUAAAAGAGACAAACAUGUAUGAGUUACAACUCUAGAUUAACCAACCCAACUGAUUCAACAUGUUUAGUCAUUUAAUCCUUGUUCUUAGUACUACCUCCAUGAUCCCACACUCCUAAUCAUAUGAGCUAAAAUGUUACACAUUCAAUCAUUGAGAGAUAUAAAGAAAAAGACAUAUACAUAGAUAGAUUAUCUUUCCAUAAGGUUGAGCGAUCUGAUCUGACAAAUGUUAUAAGUGCUACACUCAUGAACUUUUCAUCCAUCAACUUCGUCUUGCGCACUAUGCUUAGGGUUAGAGAAGAACAAAUAUACUUUUGGUUCUGUUGGUGUUUUCCACCAACAGGGCCCAUGCACUUGAUCUCUGCCUUGUCUCUAUGAGCAGGUACACUACGAGCACAAACACACUGAGCAAGAUACUGCUAACACCGCACUUCGAACUGCUGGGCAAACGAAGAACAUGGGUGACACCGUAUUAAAAGGUGCAGACGUCAAGGUCCGCACCUGAAUCAAAUGACGCACCUGAAGAAUGAACACGGUGAGAAGUCUUGUCAAGAAGACUUAAAACAUUGAACCCUUGCCGAAAGGUAAGAUUGGUAGUUAUCCAUAUUUAUCCUUUCUGCAUUCCCUUUUCCCUUUAAUUAUUUACUUUCCUUAAAUAGAUUUUUAGUUAAUCAUGCUAUCUUGAAAAGAAAAUAAAAAUGUUAAAAAAUACUAAGCCCCAUGUGAGUAUACGAGUGGCAUAAAACCCAUAAGUACCUUCACUGUGGUGCCAUAAAAAUAAAAUAAAUAUUUCUUUUCUACUUUAUAAAAUAAAAAUAUAAAAACAGGGAGUAAUAUUUAUUAAGGAAGCUCAACGUGAUGAAGGCUAGAUAUUUAUGCUAACACUUAAUUAGUUCCACAAGCUUUGUUGUCUAUUUGAGCUCCACAGAAUUUAAGAAUCAAGAAGACUAGCAGACGGAGGACAUUCUAAUCGCUGUCAGAAUGCUGCUGACUUUCAAAUACACCUCUGCCACCUGCUAGCUACAUCAAGAGAAAUUACGUCAAAAUUCAGCUUGGGGGAGAGCACCCCUAUUUAUCUCGCUAAGUAUUUCUACCUAUCUUUAUACUUAUAUUAUAUUAGAAUAUUAAAAUACAUAAACUAUGAAAAAACCAAAUAAAUAUUUUAUGCUUAUAUAUAUAUAUAUCUUUUCUUAGUUUGCUAAAUAAAUAAAUUAAUUAAUUAAUUAAUAAAUAAAGUGGCUAUGCUAAUCUGAAUCUUAAUAAUAAAACUCUAGCAUGGAUAUGAUGAAUAGUUGCUCUGCCUAAUUUGCAAAUUUGAAGUUCUCUCUCAAGUUUAGACAUAACUGUUAUAAUUUAAAGCUUGCUCUAGAUCUAAACUUGUGGGAUGAAAACUUGAUCUGAAAUCUAAGUUGUUAACGGAUAAGAUAUGAGAAGGUUGAGCUGUUGUUUAUCUAUUCCUAGAGAUGCUAGAAUUCUGGAGAAUUUUAUCUUUAAAAAAUCUUUAAAAUAUUGCAUGAUGAGUUCCUGUAUGAUAAAAGUUUAAAUUCCUACCACAGCCAUAUAUACAUGCUUGCUAGACUUUGAGCCACACAUUUAUUUACUGCUUAUGAGCAUUGAGUGUGGUCAAGCUGUGUAGACCCUUAGGAGCUUGUCAUGUGGUUAAAUCAAGAUUCACUUGCACGUUCACUCAUAUAUGCUACUUCUACUCCAGAAGUACCAUCCACAUAUAUCCAUCCAUUUCCAUCUCCAGUUUCACCCAAAAUCAUUCUACUCCUAAUCCGGGAGAGAAUAGCCAAAAACAUUUUCCUAUCCCUGUUAUUCCCUGUGAAAUAAAUGCUCCAGUUAUUUUGCUACUACCACUUGCUAUAUUAUCUCAAGAGAUGAGUGCUCUAAAAAAAAGAAAGAAAAAAAAAAGAAAGAAAAAAAAAUAAACGAGGAAAUAAAAAGGGGCAAGUGCCCGGAACCUCGAAAGAAAAGAAAAAGAGUGAGACGAGAGGUAAAAAUGGACAAGUGUCCGACAGUAGAAUUAGGGGUACAAGAUACCCACCUGAGAGGAAAGAAAAAGAAGAGCAUCUCAUUCUCCUCAUAAAGUUUCAAAAAGCAAGGAAGGUAUGUAUCCCCUCAAAAGAGCAAAGGUAGAAUUAGACUUUCACCAUUGUUAUCACCAUCAUCACCAUACACCAUUCAUUUGCCACACAUGCACAUCUUGAUUUGGCUUAUUGAUUUGUUUCUUUGGAUCCAUGGUUUGACUAUACAAUAAAUGUCUUGUAAGUAUGUAUACUUUAUCUCCCACCUAUAAGCUCGAGAUAUUAAAGCCUUAUUAGAGUAGGGUGAGAGAGAAGGCAAUGUCACUAUGCCUUAUACCACAAAUACCAUAUAUCUUGAGAGAAGGCAUAUACCAUCACUGCCUUGGUAAGGAUCCAGAAAUACCACAAAAGAGAGAUUUAGAGAGUCAUACGAGGAAUCUCUGAGUUUUAUUUGAAAAUAUGUAAAAACUCAAGAGCUAUAGCUGAUCAAGAAUAAGAGACAUGGCACUUGGCUAGACUGUUCUAUCUUUUAACUACUCAAGACAGAAGUGACGGUUACAAGUCCCAUGGUGAAAGGUAAAGUAAGUAAGUUUUAGUUCUUGACAGUUUACUCUAACUCAGAGAUGAGAUCUUAUUUAAAAGCAUGUGUACCGUC